UCAGCAGCUUUCAAACGCCUAACUGUAGUUCUCCGGCGUUCUCUUUUUGGUUGCAAAAUGCAAGGCACUGAGCUUUGACUGAAAGGAAAGCCCUAUCUUGGGGGCAGAAGUUGCUGUAUAUCUGAUCUAAAUUUACAUUAACCUCUGCUGGGAUUUCUUCUUUUCCUGGACACUGAUUUGCUAAGAAAAGGCUGACUGGGCCUUUGAACUCCAGCCUUCUGGCGCCUGAGUCUGCAUCUUCAACAACUGUGCAUACCAACCAUAUGAUAAACCGAAUGGACAAGCCUCGAAGGAAGAAUACUGGCCAUGAAGUGCUUUUGGAGCAAAAUCUGAGCCAGCCGACCCAGGAUGCUGGAGGAGAGUCAAGGCUGGGAAAGUAUCAUGGACUGUGUUAGCAAUCAACAGAAAAGAUAUUUUUAAACAAAAGAAGUUUUCCCAGCUUCCAAGAAAAGAAACAAAAGGCUUUU